CCUUCAUCUUCUAUAUAUAGAACCCCUUGAACGUGUAUUUGUAAUUCCAAUUCAUUCCAUAAUUCCAUAUUAUUUAUUUCAUGUCAAGUUACAUAAAAUAUUUUGUAUAAGUUAUUAUAUUUUGCAUCCAAGUCAUGUUUAUGAUAAAGAGGGAAUUUCGUUCGAGUUCGUUGAUUGAAGUCAUUUGGAGUGCUCCUAUGGCUUGAUGUGAUCGUUGUAUCUUGGGAGAUGGUUGUCGAAAAAUCGUUAGCACCGAUGCGGGACAAAUUCAUCUCAAGGAAAAAGUGUCAAACAAUUGUCUCGGCCAAUCGCAUCACAUGCAUCUAAUUUUCCUUAUUUCUGAUUUCAUUCUUCAUAUUUGAUUUUAGAAAUUAACUAAUACUCUUUGAUUUCAUGUGAGGUUGAAAUUCAAGAGUGGAAAUGGAUGAAUCCAUAUUCAUGUGUUCGGAAUCAGAUUCUGUAAUUAUUAUUUAUCUUCUCAAAUUCGGAUUCAGAAGUCAAAACUUUAAUUUGAAUUCGUUAAUGUAUAAGGUACUUUUUGUGAAUUUAAUAGCACGUUUAUCGUGUAAUAUUCCCAACAAUAAAUUCCUUAAAAAGUCAAUUAAACAUUUCUUUUACAAUGUUUUGAGUAUUCACCUUGUUAUCCAUAGGACCACCCAAUAAAAUUCAAUUUUCUGACCAACCACCCUCUAAAUUUUUCUCCUACUCUGUUACAUCAUCAUUAAAUAUAAAAUAAAAAAUAAAAAAAAUAAAAAAAAAAACCCUAGCAGAAGUCCCUACUUAUUUAUCUAAAUUUAUACUGGAAGAGGUAACUCUACCGGAAAUAAUCUGAUCGGAAUCAGUGUUAUCUGCAAG
rnacentral:lncRNA from 1 species